rnacentral:rRNA from 1 species
CUACGGGCCGCUCCAGUGGGGAAUAUUGGACAAUGGGGGAAACCCUGAUCCAGCAAUGCCGCGUGUGUGAAGAAGGCCUGCGGGUUGUAAAGCACUUUCGGUUGGGAGGACUGCUUCUAGCACUAAUAUUGUUGGAAGUUGACGUUACCUUCAGAAGAAGCACCGGCUAACUCCGUGCCAGCAGCGCGACGGUGAAUACGGAGGGUGCAAGCGUUAAUCGGAAUUACUGGGCGUAAAGCGCGCGUGGGCGGCUAGAUCAGUCGGGUGUGAAAGCCCCGGGCUUAACCUGGGAACUGCAUCCGAUACUGUCUAGCUUGAGUACAGGAGAGGAGAGUGGAAUUCCACAUGUAGCGGUGAAAUGCGUAGAUAUGUGGAGGAACACCAAUGGCGAAGGCAGCUCUCUGGCCUGAUACUGACGCUGAGGUGCGAAAGCGUGGGGAGCAAACAGGAUUAGAUACCCGGGUAGUC